GAUGAAGAACGUAGCGAAAUGCGAUAAGUAAUGUGAAUUGCAGAAUUCAGUGAAUCAUCGAAUCUUUGAACGCACAUUGCGCCCCCUGGUAUUCCGGGGGGCAUGCCUGUUCGAGCGUCAUUUCACCACUCAAGCCUCGCUUGGUAUUGGGCAACGCGGUCCGCCGCGUGCCUCAAAUCGACCGGCUGGGUCUUCUGUCCCCUAAGCGUUGUGGAAACUAUUCGCUAAAGGGUGUUCGGGAGGCUACGCCGUAAAACAACCCCAUUUCUAAGGUUGACCUCGGAUCAGGUAGGGAUACCCGCUGAACUUAAGCAUAUCAAUAAGCGGAGG
rnacentral:misc_RNA from 1 species